AAACCAGAGAGGGCAGCCACUUGAGUGACAACACUAAGGUUUACCUCUUAUCCAACCAAGGUGAAAGAUACUGGGGGACUGGCCUUGUUGGUGUAAUAACAAAACUUUCUUUUUCCUAUAGUCUGCUUAAACGAUGCAUGUGAGAAAUACAGGCAUAACUUAUAUUGCAGUCUAUUGUGUAGAUGCCUAACAGGGAAGGGAAGUACCAAAGACCCUGGAGGAAAGGCACAAAGCUAUCCUGGGCCACAUGCUGCCCAUGGGCCACAGGUUGAACAAGCCUGGGAUAGACUGAUGUAAAGAGCUUUGGAUUUUCUUCCCAUCAAUUGACUACUUUGCUAAAGCUAAUUCUUCAAAAAGUCCAAAUUGAUCGUUUGGAAGAAGAA
rnacentral:lncRNA from 11 species